GAUGAACGCUGGCGGCGUGCCUAAUACAUGCAAGUAGAACGCUGAAGGAGGAGCUUGCUCUUCUGGAUGAGUUGCGAACGGGUGAGUAACGCGUAGGUAACCUGCCUGGUAGCGGGGGAUAACUAUUGGAAACGAUAGCUAAUACCGCAUGACAACAGUUAUUGCAUGAUAACUGUUUAAAAGGGGCAACUGCUCCACUACCAGAUGGACCUGCGUUGUAUUAGCUAGUUGGUGAGGUAACGGCUCACCAAGGCGACGAUACAUAGCCGACCUGAGAGGGUGGUCGGCCACACUGGGACUGAGACACGGCCCAGACUCCUACGGGAGGCAGCAGUAGGGAAUCUUCGGCAAUGGACGGAAGUCUGACCGAGCAACGCCGCGGGAGUGAAGAAGGGUUUCGGAUCGUAAAGCUCUGUUGUAAGAGAAGAACGAGUGUGAGAGUGGAAAGUUCACACUGUGACGGUAUCUUACCAGAAAGGGACGGCUAACUACGUG
rnacentral:rRNA from 1 species